CUGAAGGCCUCCGCGGGGCGCCCUGUGCCGCAGCUUGGCGGGGAGGAGGCGGCGGGAAGGGAGGAGCUCCUCGGAGGAAGAGGCCCGGAUCCCCGCCCGCAGGCCUUCGCGGCGCGCGGACUGGCUCCUCGAGGCUGUCCCUGCCCCGCUCGCCGCACUUUCUCGGAACGGCCGCGCGCCCGCCUGCCCGCCUGCCGAGAUGAACGCCGCCGCCGCCGCCGCCGCCGCCGGCGGGAGCAGCUACCCGAUGGCAUCGCUGUACGUGGGGGACCUGCACCCCGAGGUGACGGAGGCGCUGCUCUAUGAGAAGUUCAGCCCCGCCGGGCCCGUCCUCUCCAUCCGCGUCUGCAGGGACAUGAUCACCCGGCGCUCGCUGGGCUACGCCUACGUCAACUUCCAGCAACCCGGCGACGCUGAGCGGGCCCUGGAUACUAUGAACUUUGAUGUAAUCAGAGGCAAGCCCAUCCGCAUCAUGUGGUCUCAACGGGACCCCUCUUUGAGGAAAUCGGGUGUAGGGAAUGUCUUCAUCAAGAACCUGGAUAGAUCCAUAGACAACAAAGCACUUUAUGACACGUUCUCUGCUUUUGGGAAUAUUCUUUCUUGCAAGGUGGUGUGUGAUGAGAAUGGCUCCAAGGGCUAUGCUUUUGUGCACUUUGAGACACAAGAUGCUGCGGACCGCGCCAUUGAGAAAAUGAACGGCAUGCUGCUGAACGACCGCAAAGUAUUUGUUGGCCGAUUUAAAUCCCAUAAAGAACGUGAGGCAGAGUUGGGAGCCAAAGCCAAGGAGUUCACCAACGUCUAUAUUAAAAACUUUGGGGAUGAGAUGGAUGACGAGAGGCUGAAGGGUCUCUUCAGCAACUACGGUAAGACCCUCAGUGUUAAAGUGAUGACUGAUCCGGCUGGAAAAUCCAAAGGUUUUGGCUUCGUGAGUUUUGAAAAGCAUGAAGAAGCCAGCAAGGCAGUAGAAGAAAUGAAUGGAAAAGAUAUCAAUGGGAAAAUUGUGUUUGUGGGUCGUGCACAGAAGAAGGUGGAACGGCAGGCAGAGCUGAAACGCAGGUUUGAGCAGCUGAAGCAAGAGAGGAUCAGCCGUUACCAGGGAGUUAAUCUCUAUAUCAAGAACCUGGAUGACACAAUUGAUGAUGAGAAGCUGAGAAAAGAGUUCUCUCCAUUUGGGUCCAUCACAAGUGCUAAGGUAAUGCUGGAAGAUGGUCGAAGCAAAGGCUUUGGCUUCGUCUGCUUCUCCUCUCCAGAAGAAGCCACCAAAGCUGUAACCGAGAUGAAUGGGCGCAUUGUGGGCUCCAAGCCACUGUAUGUGGCCUUGGCCCAGAGGAAGGAGGAGCGCAAGGCCCACCUCACCAACCAGUACCUGCAGCGCAUCGCUGGCAUGAGAGCUCUGCCAGCGAACACCAUUGUCAGCCAGUUCCAGCCGGCUUCUGGAGGAUAUUUCAUGCCGGCAGUGCCCCAGGCUCAGAACAGACCCACAUACUAUGCACCUAACCAGAUAACUCAGAUGAGACCCAAUCCACGCUGGCAGCCAGGCGGAAGGCCUCAAGGCUUCCAAGGUAUGCCCAACAGUAUGCGCCAGUCUGGGCCGCGGCCCACUCUACGGCAUUUGGCUCCCACAAGCGCUACUCAAGCGUCACGUGGUUUGCCUGGUGCUCCCCAGAGGAUUGGGGUUGCUGCCACAGCCCCAAAUUUGGCUCCUCGGCCACCUGUAGUCACCAAAGCUCCCAGGGCUGUUCCACCAUACAAAUAUGCUACAGGCAUCCACAGCCCCCACCCAGCAGUCCAGCCUUUACAGGCCCCACAGCCUGCUGUUCACGUGCAGGGACAAGAGCCUUUGACAGCAUCCAUGCUGGCUGCUGCACCUCCCCAGGAGCAAAAGCAGAUGCUGGGAGAACGUCUCUUUCCGCUGAUCCAGGCAAUGCACCUCAGCCUGGCAGGGAAGAUCACUGGGAUGCUGCUGGAGAUUGACAACUCGGAGCUGCUACACAUGCUGGAGUCUCCAGAAUCCCUCCGCUCCAAGGUGGAGGAGGCUGUGGCGGUGCUACAAGCUCACCAAGCAAAGAAGGAAGCUGCCCAAAAGGUGGGCAUCGUUUCUGCUACCUCGUAAGCCAAGGAUGCUGUACCCCGAAUAGAUCCAUAGAAUUGAACAGAGUCCUCCUAAAACUGGCCGAUUCUCUCUGGAACUCUAAAAGGUCUUGUAAAGGACAAAUGGGCUCUCUGAAGAAAUCAUCUCAUUCUGUGUAUUUCAACAUAAUGCAACAUAUCUCAAUACUUUUCAGUGUGUAACGCUCUUAAUAUGCCUUGUUUAAAAAUACUAAAAAAAAAAAAAAAUCAAGUUCCAUAUGCAAGAAUUCAUACCCCUGGCCAAAAGGCGGACAUCUUGUUUUUCCGUGUGGGAUAAUGACAUUUUUGGACUUGGUUUUAAUCAGACAAUCCCAUUUGCAAAAUCAAUAAAUAGAAGUAUUUUAUGAAA